CACGUUAUAAUGCCGUUUCCUGACCAUCAGAUUUCUGUCAAAUCUUCCCCCAAAGUCCAGGAAAUGGCAUUUCAGAGACUCUAAAUUCAAAAAUUUUCCUGGGGGCAUACCCCCGGACCCCCCUAGACAAACCUCGCACCUGCGGCACUCGGCUCGUGCCUUCGGCCCUGGUUUAUCAAGUGUAACAUUAUAGGGGCGCAUAUUGGUUGACAGCCCACUGGCCCCUCCAGAAAAA